rnacentral:lncRNA from 10 species
GAUCGUCCGCCCUCUGCCGCGUCCUCCUGGGGGAUGGAGAACCUGUUUGCCAGGCUGCCGCCGGAGCGCGCGAGGGCCUCCAGCCUGCAGAGGAACCAGGAGUACGGGAGGAAAAUGCAAGAGGACAAGGAGCGUGACCAUUGAAGCACAGCACAGCAGGAUGACUGCGGGCAGGCCUAGAUAAUACCCAGCCUCCCACAAGAAGCUGGUGGAGCAGAGUGUUCCCUGACUCCUCCAAGAAAAGGAGAUUCCCUUUCGUGGUCUGCUGAGUAACGGGUGCCUUCCCAGACACUGGCGUUCCCGCUUGACCAAGGAGCCCUCAAGAGGCCCUUAUGCCGGUGUGACAGAAGGCUCACCUCUUGCCUUCUAGGUCACUUCUCACAAUGUCCCUUCAGUACCUGACCCUAUACCCACCGGUUGUUUCCUGGUUAUAUUAGUUAUACAACAAAGAAUAAAAGUAAUAGCUAAUGAUUAAUAAU